rnacentral:lncRNA from 1 species
UGUCCCUGUUCACGGCCUGCUCUGCAAAAUCUGCCUGCAGUGUUGGUGUGCCAGGGAGUUUCUUAGUAUUAAUUUUCAUGAACAUCUACAAGACACCUUAAAUGGGACAAGGAAUACUGGGAGAGUCUGCACAUUCCAUUUGGGAUUAAUAUCAAUUCUAGAGUCCCCGGGGCGGCCUUCUGGUUGUAGGAUGUGUCUCCUCUGUCCCUCUGGGUGUGGCUUCUUUUUCCAGAUAAAACCACAGGUUUAAGGGUUGGGGAGUGGCUGGUGAGCAGACUUGUGUUCCUGGGGUGCUAGGUCAGGAAAGUGGAGAGCUUCAACCCUGUGCCCCGUACCGUGUUGAGAAGUCUGAUUUUGAAAACACCAAGUUGUCUAGGCCAUUUCUUUCCUUGAUUCCCUGGCCUUCAGGAAAGUUGGUGCAACUGUGAUGGCUCAGGGUGUUGAUUGUGUCUCUGGCCUUUCUUGCCAGCAGUAGAAUCUGAGUGCUUCGAGAGGGCAGAUGGGGGUGGGCAGGCGGCUGUGUUCCACCCAGAUAUCUCACAGGGACAGCCCAGGUUGAGUGCUGCCCCUUAGCGUCCUCACCCCUGCCCCUUGGAGCAGCUGCUUUAUCUGGAGGCCAAGCGGGAGGCUCCAUGUGCACAAGGUGCACACUGUUAAAGGAGGGACACCUGUCCCUCAGCGUACUCCCACAGCCCAUCACUGCCUGAACUGCUGCAUCAGAGGCCUUCGAGAGCAUGGUGCUUCUGCUCCCAAGUAGCCCAACUGCUAAGAGCAAAUCCUGCAGGAAGGACUGCCGUAUCGUUAGCCAGUACCCCUGUACUUAGGCACCAUGAAACAAACGUCAGGCCUGUCAUGGAGUGAGCCUCAAAUUUCUGCUUGCCCAAGAACCAUCCAGACUCCAAAAGGAUCCUGGUUAGAAGCAACAAGCUAAAGAGGAUAUUUGGAGGACAACUGGGAGAAAUUUGGAUGUGGACUGUAAGGUGGUGUUAUGGCUUGUGUCUAGAUGUUUCCCCAAAGUCUCAUGCAAUCCUAGAUGGGGCAUUUCCACAGGUGGCUGAACUAGAAUGUGUGAUGCUAAGAUUAAGGGUAUGUGAUGACUAAGUCCACUGAUUGAUUUUUCCAACCCUAAGCCCAGUAGCCUAGUUAGAAUGUAAAAGGGGCACAAAGAAGCUGUUGUUGCUUGUAAUUUGGUGCCUUCUGUCUUCUGCCCACCAUGAACUGUUUCUCUUCUGCAAUGCCCCCCUGCCAUGCCACCAUGCCUUGGUGCCAGCUGAUCAUGGACUGAAACUUCUACAAACUGUGAACUGAAUAAACCUUUCCUCCCUUAACUUGUGGGUGUUGGGUAUUUUGUCUCAGCAAUGAGAAAAGUAACUGAGGCAGGUGGUAUUGCUGAAUUACUGUUGAUUUUCCCAAGCAUGGUGAUAGUAU